GACGAACCGUGCGAACGUUAUUCGGAAUCACUGGGCUUAAAGCGCGUGUAGGCGGAUGGGAACGUCGGUAGUUGAAAGCCCCCGGCUCAACCGGGGAAGUGGUGCCGAAACGUCCCGUCUGGAGGGACGUAGGGGGACCUGGAACUUCCGGUGGAGCGGUGAAAUGCGUUGAGAUCGGAAGGAACGCCCGUGGCGAAAGCGGCGCGCUGGACCCCCACUGACGCUGAGGCGCGAAAGCCAGGGGAGCAAACGGG
rnacentral:rRNA from 1 species